UACGGGGGGUGCGAGCGUUAAUCGGAAUUACUGGGCGUAAAGCGUGCGCAGGCGGCUUCGCAAGUCAGACGUGAAAUCCCCGGGCUUAACCUGGGAAUGGCGUUUGAAACUACGGAGCUGGAGUGUGGCAGAGGGAGGUAGAAUUCCACGUGUAGCGGUGAAAUGCGUAGAUAUGUGGAGGAAUACCGAUGGCGAAGGCAGCCUCCUGGGCCAACACUGACGCUCAUGCACGAAAGCGUGGGGAGCAAACAGG
rnacentral:rRNA from 1 species